CCCAACCUGGGAAUGGCAUUCGAUACUGUCCAGCUAGAGUCUGGUAGAGGGAAGUGGAAUUUCCGGUGUAGCGGUGAAAUGCGUAGAUAUCGGAAGGAACACCAGUGGCGAAGGCGACUUCCUGGACCAAGACUGACGCUGAGGUGCGAAAGCGUGGGUAGCAAACAGGAUUAGAUACCCUGGUAGUCCACGCCGUAAACGAUGAGAACUAGCCGUUGGACCCAUUUAAGGGUUUAGUGGCGCAGCUAACGCAAUAAGUUCUCCGCCUGGGGAGUACGGCCGCAAGGCUAAAACUCAAAGGAAUUGACGGGGGCCCGCACAAGCGGUGGAGCAUGUGGUUUAAUUCGAUGCAACGCGAAGAACCUUACCUGCCCUUGACAUCCUCGGAACUUGGUAGAGAUACCUUGGUGCCUUCGGGAGCCG
rnacentral:rRNA from 1 species